UACGAAGGGGGGCUAGCGUUGUUCGGAUUUACUGGGCGUAAAGCGCACGUAGGCGGAUUGUUAAGUGAGGGGUGAAAUCCUGGAGCUCAACUCCAGAACUGCCUUUCAUACUGGCAAUCUAGAGUCCGGAAGAGGUAAGUGGAACUCCUAGUGUAGAGGUGGAAUUCGUAGAUAUUAGGAAGAACACCAGUGGCGAAGGCGGCUUACUGGUCCGGUACUGACGCUGAGGUGCGAAAGCGUGGGGAGCAAACAGG
rnacentral:rRNA from 1 species